UUUGAUGUGAAUUGAUUUAUGUUUGGAUGCACUCGCUUAAAAGUGAUUUUGAUGGGUUGAUGUUGUUUGGAUAG
rfam:Medicago truncatula strain A17 chromosome 4, whole genome shotgun sequence.